UUUCAUGCUUCAGUGGUUAUAGUUAAGUUUUUGUGUUUUGGUCUGUUUUUCUUAAACUGUAUGCAAUAGGUCUACUAUAUUUGGUGUAUGGAAUGAUUGUAAGGUGUACAUGUCUAGCUGGCAGGUGUCAUCUGACCUUGACCUCAUUUUCAUGGUUCAGUGGUCAAAGUUAAGUUUUUGAGUUUUGGUCUUUUUUUCUAAUACUGCAUGCAAUAGGUCAGCUAUAUUUGGUGUAUGGAAUGAUUGUAAGGUGUACAUGUCUAGCUGGCAGGUGUCAUCUGACCUUGACCUCAUUUUCAUGGUUCAGUGGUCAAAGUUAAGUUUUUGAGUUUUGGUCUUUUUUUCUAAUACUAUAUGCAAUAGUUCAACUAUAUUUGGUGUAUGGAAAUAUUUUAUGAUCUAUAUGUCAGUCACGCAGGUUUUAUUUGACCUUGACCUCAUUUUCAAGGUUCAUUGCUCAGUGUUAAGUUUUUGUGUUUUCGUCUGUUUUUCUUAAACUAUUAGCAAUAGGUCAACUAUAUUUGUUGUAUGGAAGAAUUGUUAGCUAUACAUGCCUGCCUAGCAUGGUUCAUCUGACCUUGACCUCAUUUUCA